rnacentral:rRNA from 1 species
GGGGCACGGGGGGCCCCAUACGGGAGGCAGCAGUGGGGAAUAUUGCACAAUGGGCGCAAGCCUGAUGCAGCCAUGCCGCGUGUAUGAAGAAGGCCUUCGGGUUGUAAAGUACUUUCAGCGGGGAGGAAGGGAGUAAAGUUAAUACCUUUGCUCAUUGACGUUACCC